UACGGGGGGGGCAAGCGUUGUUCGGAAUUACUGGGCGUAAAGGGCUCGUAGGCGGCCAACUAAGUCAGACGUGAAAUCCCUCGGCUUAACCGGGGAACUGCGUCUGAUACUGGAUGGCUUGAGGUUGGGAGAGGGAUGCGGAAUUCCAGGUGUAGCGGUGAAAUGCGUAGAUAUCUGGAGGAACACCGGUGGCGAAGGCGGCAUCCUGGACCAAUUCUGACGCUGAGGAGCGAAAAGCCAGGGGAGCAAACGGG
rnacentral:rRNA from 1 species